UACGGAGGGGGCUAGCGUUGUUCGGAAUUACUGGGCGUAAAGCGUGCGUAGGCGGACCUGCAAGUCGGGGGUGAAAGCCCGAGGCUCAACCUCGGAACUGCCUUCGAUACUGCGGGUCUCGAGUCCGGGAGAGGUGAGUGGAAUUCCUAGUGUAGAGGUGAAAUUCGUAGAUAUUAGGAAGAACACCAGUGGCGAAGGCGGCCGACUGGUCCGGUUCUGACGCUGAGGCGCGAAAGCGUGGGGAGCAAACAGGG
rnacentral:rRNA from 1 species